rnacentral:rRNA from 1 species
AAACAUAGCUUUUCGAAAAAAUUAUGAAAAGUAAUUUCCUGCCCAGUGAAAUAUUUAAACGGCCGCGGUUUAUCCGUGCAAAGGUAGCAUAAUCACUUGUCCUUUAAUUAAGGGCUAGAAUGAAUGGAUUUACAAAAAAUAACUUUCUUUACUUUAACAAUAAAAACUAAUAUAUGAAUGAAAAAGUUCAUAUUACCUAAAAAGACCAAAAGACCCUAGCGAGCUUAAAUAUUCCUAUCUACAAAAUAAAAUAUUUUUAAUUGGGGCGAUUAAAGAUAAAUUUCAUCUUUUAUAAAAAUAAACUAUAAUCAUACCUAAUUUAAACUAAAAAAAGUUACCGUAGGGAUAACAGGCUACUCAAUUUUUAAAGUCCAUAUUAACAAAUUGUCUUAGCACCUCGAUGUUGGCUUAAGGAUACUCUAAAAUGCAACAGUUUUAUAAAGUAGGCUUGUUCCGCCUU